rnacentral:lncRNA from 1 species
AUGACUGAAUUAAUUACUUUUGUCAAAAAACCCCACAAAGAGAUCCUGAAACAUUUACAAAUGGCAGCCCUCACUGCAUGUGCACAGGCAUCACACAGACACUUGCUGCUAAUUGGUGUCAAGAGAGUCACAGAUACAUGGAGGGGGCGGCCUCCGCUUCUUCUUCUUCUACUGUCUUUGUGUGCUCUAACAUGUCCACAUGUAGCCUGCUGCGUUCCCCUCUGCAGCAGUAACAACAUGCUGUUUCUCUCCUCCACCUCAGUGUCCUGUGUAGCGUUUUGUGUAGUGAUCUUGAUGAUGGUGGUGGUCUUCUACAGAAAGGAUCCUCUCUGCUGCAGAUUCAGACCCUACACGACAGAAAACUACACAGAUGAUUCUCCACAUUACCACAGCAGGCACUCUCUGAUCGGCAUCCCCCACAAUGAGCACCGUGCUGCCAUGAGCCAGGCAGCUGUUGGCCCACAGCUUCCUGGGGGGCUGUUUAUAAUAGGGAAGCCAAAUAACUACCACCUGAGCGACGCCCUGCCCAGGCUGCCUUCCUACGAGAGCGUCCGCAAGAAAGACCGGCAGAGGCAGAUCCACACUAUGAUCUCACAGCGGUUCGGCCUCAGUGGCUGCAGCGAUGAGCCUCCACCAACAUAUGAAGAAACACUUCGCCAGUCGCUUGAUAUUUCACCCGUACACGUGCACUCUCUGGAUGUUCACCUGUCAGUCUACACCCAAGACCACUCCUCAUACCUCAGUGAGGAAGACACACACAACCCCAAUCAACCAUCCACAUCACUCCAGGGGCCGUCUUCCUCCCGAUGCCCAGCGCAGAGCUCCAGGUUCCUGUCCAUCUGA